GAGAACCUAGUAAACACAUUACGUGACUUUGUCAUAGUCAAAUCACAUCAUCUGUGGUUCUCA
rnacentral:tRNA from 1 species